rnacentral:rRNA from 1 species
GAUGAACGCUGGCGGCGUGCCUAAUACAUGCAAGUCGAGCGAACGCACGAGAAGCUUGCGCUUCUAAGGUUAGCGGCUGACGGGUGAGUAACACGUGGAUCACCUACCUAUAUUACGGGGAUAACUUCGGGGAAACGCUGCUAAUACCAGCUCAUAUGUUGAACCGCAUGAUUCAAAAGUGAAUGACGGCUUUCCUGUCACUUAUAGAUGAAUCCGCGCUGCAUUAGCUAGUUGGUAAGGUAACGGCUUACCAAGGCAACGAUGCGUAGCCGACCUGAGAGGGUGAUCAGCCACACUGGAACUGAGACACGGUCCAGACUCCUACGGGAGGCAGCAGUAGGGAAUCUUCCGCAAUGGGCGAAAGCCUGACGGAGCAACGCCGCGUGAGUGAUGAAGGCCUUCGGAUCGUAAAACUCUGUUAUUAGGGAAGAAAAGAAGUAGAUUUAACCCUGGACGUCUUGACGGUACCUAAUCAGAAAGCCACGGCUAACUACGUG